rnacentral:rRNA from 1 species
ACGCGACGGCCAGUCCAAGUCCACCUUGACUGGGGCCACGACCCGCAGAGGGUGAUAGGCCCGUAAGACGGCUGUCUAGUUGUGCCGGCUUUCCCCUAGAGUCGAGUUGCUUGGGAGUGCAGCUCAAAGUGCGUGGUAAACUCCACGUAAGGCUAAAUAUCACCCCGAGACCGAUAGCGAACAAGUACCUUGAGGGAAAGUUGAAAAGAACUUUGAAGAGAGAGUUCAAAGUACGUGAAACUGUGUAGUGGUAAACGGAGGGGCUCUCGAAGUGAGCUCCGCAGAUUCAGGUUGACGGGAGGUGCGGCUCGGGCCGGUGCGAUCCGCGAGGACGUCCGGUUCGGGUCCGGCGCUUUCCGACGGCUGCACUUCUGCGGAGCGUCGCGCGACGAACCGCUUCUGCCGGAACGAGGACUCGGGUGAAGUUUGCUUUUGCGUCUUCGGUCGCGGGCAAGCCCCGGGCUCCUGUCUUCGGGCGAGGCGGGUACCAGAGCCGGCUUGUAUAGCAAGCACGCAUUGCUAGUGCCGCCGGCAUCUCUGUCGCGAGUAGGUCGCGGACCCCUCCGACCCGUCUUGAAACACGGACCAAGGAGUCUAACAUGUGUGCGAGCCAUUGGGCGAACUAAACCCAAGGGCGCAGUGAAAGCGAAGGGCACCAGGUGUCCGAGGGGCGAUCCCCGUCAAAAGGGCGCAGCCCCGGCGCUUU